AAUCUGAGGGGACUGUGAACCCACCUUGUCGGGGACGGCAUGGCAGCAUCUGACAGACAGGCCUGAGCCCUGAGCACCUGCAGCCCACAGAGGGAGGACUCCAGAAGGUGACUCAUCCCAGAGUACCCUCAAGGAGGCGGGACCCAUCAUGGUUUUUGGGAGACACUCCAGGACCACAGAGCCCAGGACCCACGCCUCUUCCUGCCUCCUCGUUCUGCAGGUGACCCUGAAACUCCGAUGACUCUGGCUCUCAGGUCAGUGCCGCAUUUUGAACCUUGAGAGUCAGGGCUCACUUCUUCCCCCAGGUACCACCCUGGGCUGGGCACGUCGAAGUGGGACACACACACAGACCUAACACACACACACACACACACACGGCUUGUGGAGGAUUGCACA